UAUGAAGGAAGUAUUACAGGGUCAAUGACGAAGAUUUUGUUCCAAAGAUGCAUUGUUGAGCUGGGGGAUGCUGUUGCCUGGGUAAAUGCCAACAUGGGCCUUUUCUGAGACUGGGUAGUCCUCACCCCUGAAUGAUGAGGAAAUACAGGGUGCUCUGCAGAUGCUCAGAGAGGCUUCAACUCUAGAGGAAGAACAAGAAGCUCUCUCCCAUUCAUGAUUUUGUUUAAUAAUUUUGAAGACACUGAAACAUUCAUAGACAAAAUAGACAAAAGAGGACUUAAUGAUAAUUUUGAGCUUCCCUGUUAAUUAUGUUUGUUGAUGAGGAUACCUAUUACCUGUCUUUAAACCAUCAGCUAAUGCUGGGUUCCACACAACAAAAAUUACAAGAUCCAGAAAACACAAUAUAAUUUGACGAGACAAAGAGACAAGGAACAUCAUUUAUUUAGCAAGAGUAAACUGGACAGUGUUUUGGAAGUGUUCACCUGGCCAUACAACAUGAUAGGAUGAAUCCAAAGCCUACAGAAUCUGGGCAAAGCUGAAUACACAGUACAUAAAGAAACAGUUUAGUUUUGACAGUGUUGGAAUGUAAUGUUUAGAAUAUUUAAUGGGGUAAUUAAAUGUUUAAUUGUCUAACUGGCAUAUCAUUUAAUUUUGUAUUUCUUAGGUUUAUGCCAUUAACUUUAAGAUUUUGGGCUAUAUUAAUUGACUUUCAAUAAUGUAUGUUGUGCUCCUUUUGACCUGUUCUACUUGUAAUUUAUGCUAUUGAAACAACUUUUAGGAUAAGGGUUAAAUUAGAUGUAACACAUAUUCCUCCCAACAAUGUUUUAAGUCCAUAACCACGUCAUUACUAUAUAAUAAAAAUUGUGCUUGUUCCAGGCACCCCUGGAUAAAUGUAUGGUUCUGUAAACAGAUGUUGACCUGACCUCUAAAUUAUGCAAAUUGAAACAUGCCACCUUUCUGCAACAGGCUAUAGAAAAUUCCACACUUCCAGUUACCAAUUUCAGCUUUCUAGAAGAUUGCUGUUCAAUUGAACAAUGCAAGUCAGAGGAAGGAGAAACCAUUACAAUGAUUUGUAUGAAAACUGGUCAGAUCUAUACAGCAGAACCCACAGGUCUCGGAAAAGGACCUUCAGAACAGUUUAGCUGUCACUGAAGUUGUUGCUCACAGGUCCACCGCACAAUGUACCUUACACAGCAUGUUCACAUUUGUCUAAUAUGUUGAAUCUAUGGAAAAUACAUAAAUGGUAAUACUGUAUAAACUUGUGCAAAAGGGAGGCAUGUUUCACUUUGUAACAUGAAGAGCUCAGAUCAACUAUAUUUUAACUGCAAUAAGCAGAAUUCUCAACCAUCAACCUCC
ensembl:lncRNA